rnacentral:lncRNA from 1 species
GGUCUCCUCGCGAGGGCCUGGGCCGCUCUGGGCGCUCGGCCCGCGUGUCGGGGGCUCCCCGGGGCGCCCUGGGCUCCUGCUGCUGUUUCUUCCUGGCCGGCCUUGAGGUGCGGAGCCCCCGGGCUCUGCUGAGGGCCUCCCGGCCCCGUGGCCUCGGUGACCUCGGUUCAGGCGUCCGUGACCGUCUCGCCUGGUGGCUCCGCGCCGCUGACCUCGGCACGCCGCGGGCCUUCCUCCUCUUGCGGACCGGAGGGAGAGCCGGGCGCAGAGACCGAGGCACAGUCGCGCGGCGCGGCGUUCCGCGUGACCCUGCGGUUAAAACCCGCGCGCUGCAGCAUCGCGGAAAACGGGAUUCGCCUCAUUUGAAACUUGAGGAAAAUCUCUAAACACUUUCAUUUUGAUAGAAACCAUUUCCGCCGCUGACGUGCGUCUACGCCCAUCAUUUCAGCUGACACGUUGCUGUAACGUCUCCUCCGUUUCAUGCUCUUUCGAACCCUGUCAGCUGCGGGAAGGAACUUCUAAACUAAAAGCUGGCAAGACUCAGCAGAAAAAAAAUAUCGAAAGCUGCUUCUGCUGCCCCAGCUUCACUCAGGCCCUGGCUGCUCCUUCACUGGUCUACACUGCUGCCUCCUGGAACCACCCACUCUGCAACCAGGUCUGAUGCCCGGUGUGGACAUUCAGGGAUGAGGUCCCCUGGGGCUAAAUGAAUGAACAGAUUCUGAAAAGCAGAAGCUACGUCCGGGGGUCUCUGGGCCACAAAUCACUUUCUGACCUGCAGCCGUGAGGCGUGAGGCUCACUCGGAAGCUCCCGGAACCUGGAGACUGCCCUCACUCAACACUUGAACAAGCAAGGGGCCAGGUUCAAUGAAACACCUGCCCGCCCGGCACACCAGGCUCAAAAGCAAGCAAGCAAGCAAACAAACAAACAAAAUCAAAUCAGGCCUUCACAACUCCCCAAAUCAUGUGUGAGUUUCUACAGAGCAGAAGCCAAAAAUAUAUGUUAUCUAACUAGGUCCUAUUUA